UGCUUGCACCUUUCAAGUGAGUGGCGAACGGGUGAGUAACACGUGGACAACCUGCCUCAAGGCUGGGGAUAACAUUUGGAAACAGAUGCUAAUACCGAAUAAAACUUAGUGUCGCAUGACAAAAAGUUAAAAGGCGCUUCGGCGUCACCUAAAGAUGGAUCCGCGGUGCAUUAGUUAGUUGGUGGGGUAAAGGCCUACCAAGACAAUGAUGCAUAGCCGAGUUGAGAGACUGAUCGGCCACAUUGGGACUGAGACACGGCCCAAACUCCUACGGGAGGCUGCAGUAGGGAAUCUUCCACAAUGGGCGAAAGCCUGAUGGAGCAACGCCGCGUGUGUGAUGAAGGCUUUCGGGUCGUAAAGCACUGUUGUAUGGGAAGAACAGCUAGAAUAGGAAAUGAUUUUAGUUUGACGGUACCAUACCAGAAAGGGACGGCUAAAUACGUGCCAGCAGCCGCGGUAAUACGUAUGUCCCGAGCGUUAUCCGGAUUUAUUGGGCGUAAAGCGAGCGCAGACGGUUUAUUAAGUCUGAUGUGAAAGCCCGGAGCUCAACUCCGGAAUGGCAUUGGAAACUGGUUAACUUGAGUGCAGUAGAGGUAAGUGGAACUCCAUGUGUAGCGGUGGAAUGCGUAGAUAUAUGGAAGAACACCAGUGGCGAAAGCGGCUUACUGGACUGCAACUGACGUUGAGGCUCGAAAGUGUGGGUAGCAAACAGGAUUAGAUACCCUGGUAGUCCACACCGU
rnacentral:rRNA from 1 species